rnacentral:rRNA from 1 species
AGCCAGAAAAACACCGAAGAAAGGGCCGGGCAAGACCGGGCCAGCCGCCGCGGAAACCGGCGGCCGAGGGGGCCAAAGGGCAAAGCGCGAGCGGGAAAAGCCGGGAAACCGACGGCCAACGCGGGCGCAAGAGAACGGAAGGGAACCGGGAGAGGGAGGGGACCGGGGGAGGAGGAAACCGAACCCGAGGGACCACCGGGCGAAGGCGCCCACCAGAACGGCCGACAGGAGGGACGAAAGCGGGGGAGCAAACCGGAAGAACCCGGGAGCCCAGCCGAAACGAGCGCGAGGGCGGGAGCCACGAGCGGGAG